UACGGAGGGGGCUAGCGUUGUUCGGAAUUACUGGGCGUAAAGCGCACGUAGGCGGCUUUGUAAGUUAGAGGUGAAAGCCCGGGGCUCAACUCCGGAAUUGCCUUUAAGACUGCAUCGCUUGAAUCCGGGAGAGGUGAGUGGAAUUCCGAGUGUAGAGGUGAAAUUCGUAGAUAUUCGGAAGAACACCAGUGGCGAAGGCGGCUCACUGGACCGGUAUUGACGCUGAGGGUGCGAAAGCGUGGGGGAGCAAAACAGG
rnacentral:rRNA from 1 species